UACGGAGGGUGCAAGCGUUAAUCGGAAUUACUGGGCGUAAAGCGUGCGUAGGCGGUUUGCUAAGUCAGAUGUGAAAGCCCCGGGCUUAACCUGGGAACGGCAUUUGAAACUGGUUAACUAGAGUUUAGUAGAGGGGAGUGGAAUUUCAGGUGUAGCGGUGAAAUGCGUAGAUAUCUGAAGGAACACCAGUGGCGAAGGCGACUCCCUGGACUAGAACUGACGCUGAGGUACGAAAGCGUGGGUAGCAAACAGG
rnacentral:rRNA from 1 species